rnacentral:rRNA from 1 species
CACGCCCUAAACGAUGUCAACUAGGUGUCGGGAGCGCAAGUUCUUGGUACCGCAGCUAACGCGUGAAGUUGACCGCCUGGGGAGUACGGUCGCAAGAUUAAAACUCAAAGGAAUUGACGGGGACCCGCACAAGCGGUGGAUGAUGUGGAUUAAUUCGAUGCAACGCGAAAAACCUUACCUACCCUUGACAUGUCCAGAACCCUGCUGAAAGGUGGGGGUGCCCGAAAGGGAAUUGGAACACAGGUGC